rnacentral:rRNA from 1 species
UACAGAGGGUGCAAGCGUUGUUCGGAAUUAUUGGGCGUAAAGCGCGUGUAGGCGGCUUUGCAAGUCGGGUGUGAAAUCCCUCAGCUCAACUGAGGAAGUGCGCCCGAAACUGCAUGGCUCGAGUACCGGAGAGGAUGGUGGAAUUCCCCAAGUAGAGGUGAAAUUCGUAGAUAUGGGGAGGAACACCGGUGGCGAAGGCGACCAUCUGGACGGAUACUGACGCUGAGACGCGAAAGCGUGGGUAGCAAACAGGAUUAGAUACCCUGGUAGUCCACGCCGUAAACGAUGAGAACUAGGUGUCGCGGGUGUUGACCCCUGCGGUGCCGUAGCUAACGCAUUAAGUUCUCCGCCUGGGAAGUACGGCCGCAAGGCUAAA